GCCGCUAUCGUCUAGUGGUCAGGACGCCAGGUUCUCAUCCUGGUAACAGGGGUUCGAUUCCCCUUAGCGGUA
rnacentral:tRNA from 1 species